UGGGGAAUUUGGACAAUGGGCGAAGCCUGAUCCAGCAAUGCCGCGUGUGUGAAGAAGGCCUUCGGGUUGUAAAGCACUUUUGUCCGGAAAGAAAUCCUUGGCUCUAAUACAGUCGGGGGAUGACGGUACCGGAAGAAUAAGCACCGGCUAACUACGUGCCAGCAGCCGCGGUAAUACGUAGGGUGCAAGCGUUAAUCGGAAUUACUGGGCGUAAAGCGUGCGCAGGCGGUUUGCUAAGACCGAUGUGAAAUCCCCGGGCUCAACCUGGGAACUGCAUUGGUGACUGGCAGGCUAGAGUAUGGCAGAGGGGGGUAGAAUUCCACGUGUAGCAGUGAAAUGCGUAGAGAUGUGGAGGAAUACCGAUGGCGAAGGCAGCCCCCUGGGCCAAAUACUGACGCUCAUGCACGAAAAGCGUGGGGAGCAAAACAGGAUUAGAUACCCCGGUAGUCCACGCCCUAAAACGAUGUCAACUAGUUGUUGGGGAUUCAUUUCCUUAGUAACGUAGCUAACGCGUGAAGUUGACCGCCUGGGGAGUACGGUCGCAAGAUUAAAAACUUAAAGGAAUUG
rnacentral:rRNA from 1 species